UUCAAAAUCAGGCGAUUCUGGUCCAGUGAGAAUGUGUUUAUUUGAAAAAGUAGAAUUUAUGGAAGACGUAAAAGCAUACGUUCAUGUUGCUCCACAUGCCACUGUCAACCUCACAAAGCGGGUAAAAUGUUGUGAAACUGAGUAUUGUGUUGGACUCUUUGUUUGCUCAGGCACUGAUGAAAAAUCUCCACUUUUCAGCAAAAAAGCCUCAAACAUUUUGUACAAUGAGCAAGUUGUUUUUGUUUAGGCUGAGCAUGAAACUUUAUUUCAUGACCAUUUCCAUGCUUUUCAAGUGAGUGAACACAUGCCUAAAAAGAUACUGAUUGUGGAAAUACUGCAAAUAAAACAUUUCAGGAGUUUUGAUGCCCUAAUGUCAUAUGGGUGUGAUUCCC